rfam:Otolemur garnettii contig128198, whole genome shotgun sequence.
GCCAGGCAUGCUGGUGUUCUCUUGCAGUCCCAGCUUUGGGAAGGCUGAGGCAGGAGGAUUUCCCAAGAAUUCUGGGCUGUUGUGUAGUAUGCUGAUCAAGUGUCUACACUAAGUUCAUCGUCAGUAUGGUGUUCUCUUGUGAGUGGAGGACCACCAGGUUGCCUAAGGAGGGUUGAACUGGCCCAGGUUAGAAACAGAGCCUAUCAAAACUCCUUUGCUGAUCAGUAGUGGGAUCAUGCCUGUGAAUAGUGAUUGCACUCCACUCUGGGCAAUGUAGCAAGACCCUAUCUAUU